rnacentral:guide_RNA from 1 species
AAUCACGAGAGAAAGAUAAAGAUAUAUAUU